rnacentral:rRNA from 1 species
GACGAACGCUGGCGGCGUGCCUAAUACAUGCAAGUCGAGCGAGACUCUUCGGAGUCUAGCGGCGGACGGGUGAGUAACACGUGGGCAACCUGCCUGUAAGACUGGGAUAACACCGGGAAACCGGUGCUAAUACCGGAUAAUCCUUUUCUUCUCAUGAGGAAAAGCUGAAAGUCGGUUUCGGCUGACACUUACAGAUGGGCCCGCGGCGCAUUAGCUAGUUGGUGAGGUAACGGCUCACCAAGGCGACGAUGCGUAGCCGACCUGAGAGGGUGAUCGGCCAAACUGGGACUGGGAAACGGCCCAGACUUCUACGGGAGGCAGCAGUAGGGAAUCUUCCACAAUGGACGAAAGUCUGAUGGAGCAACGCCGCGUGAGCGAUGAAGGCCUUCGGGUCGUAAAGCUCUGUUGUUAGGGAAGAACAAGUACCGGAGUAACUGCCGGUACCUUGACGGUACCUAACCAGAAAGCCACGGCUAACUACGUGCCAGCAGCCGCCGUAACAC